rnacentral:rRNA from 1 species
AUGAACGCUAGCGGCAGGCUUAACACAUGCAAGUCGAGGGGCAGCAUGACACGGAGAUUCGUCGAAGUGUUGAUGGCGACCGGCGCAAGGGUGCGUAACGCGUGAGCAACUUGCCCUUAUCAGGGGGAUAACCGGUGGAAACGCCGACUAAUACCCCAUAGCAUCAACUUUAGGCAUCUUUAGUUGAUUGAAGAAUUUCGGAUAAGGAUAGGCUCGCGUGACAUUAGCUAGAUGGCGGGGUAACGGCCCACCAUGGCGACGAUGUCUAGGGGUUCUGAGAGGAAGGUCCCCCACACUGGAACUGAGACACGGUCCAGACUCCUACGGGAGGCAGCAGUGAGGAAUAUUGGUCAAUGGCCGAGAGGCUGAACCAGCCAUGCCGCGUGAAGGUCACGGCCCUAUGGGUCUUAAACUUCUUUUGUAAGGGAGCAAUAAGGUCUACGUGUAGACUGAUGAGAGUACCUUACGAAUAAGCAUCGGCUAACUCCGUG